UCUUUCUUUUCGACCCCCCAGGCGACUGUCUUCUUUUCCUUUUCUCCUUAUUACUCUUCUCUAUUCCUUUUUCUUUCAGCCUCAUCGCUGUUUCCUUUGAGCACGCCCAGAACGCCCGAAGGUUUGCUUCCCGAUUCCAUGUCUACAACACACUCGCACGUUGGCUUUUCCACCAGCGCGCGAUGCUACGCAAUCGAGGUGCGGUUCCAUGUCUCGCGAUGGCCCCGACCUCUUCAAAUCUUCAGGCCGUGAAGUCCGACGAGCUGAGAGAUUUUCUGGAGCUUCUUCUCGGACGCAGAUCACCUGUGACGACGUCUUUGGCUGUUCUUGGCCAAAGACGGACUCCGAGGGAUGCCCUGGGAGGAUGAAGUCGAAGUUGGACAGCACUGGGAGAAACUAUAGCUCUUUCCAUAUCCGCAUUGCUCUUAACUUGAAAGGUUUGAGUACGGGUAUAUGCACGUAAAUUUGGUGAGGAAAGAUCAAUUCAGUACAGGAAGUCUACCGCCCCUGAUAUUGGUGAUCUUAAUGCCAAACUUGAGCUUCUUGAUGGCACGCUAUUGUAAGACCUCGCACUCUAUUGACAGUUGGCUAGUAAUGUAGCCUAAAAUAGCCUAGGCCAUGAUAUAGCUAGUAUAAACACCUAGAGGGGGGUGAAUAGGUGCACAAACAAUUUAUCGAAAUACGA